rnacentral:rRNA from 1 species
GGUUAAGCGACUAAGCGUACACGGUGGAUGCCCUGGCAGUCAGAGGCGAUGAAGGACGUGCUAAUCUGCGAAAAGCGCCGGCGAGGUGAUAUGAACCUUUGACCCGGCGAUGUCCGAAUGGGGAAACCCAGUGCAAUUCGUUGCACUAUCGUUAACUGAAUACAUAGGUUAACGAGGCGAACCGGGGGAACUGAAACAUCUAAGUACCCCGAGGAAAAGAAAUCAACCGAGAUUCCCCCAGUAGCGGCGAGCGAACGGGGAGCAGCCCAGAGUCUGAAUCAGCUUGUGUGUUAGUGGAAGCGUCUGGAAAGUCGCACGGUACAGGGUGACAGUCCCGUACACGAAAGCACACAGGUUGUGAACUCGAAGAGUAGGGCGGGACACGUGGUAUCCUGUCUGAAUAUGGGGGGACCAUCCUCCAAGGCUAAAUACUCCUGACUGACCGAUAGUGAACCAGUACCGUGAGGGAAAGGCGAAAAGAACCCCGGCGAGGGGAGUGAAAAAGAACCUGAAACCGUGUACGUACAAGCAGUGGGAGCACCUUCGUGGUGUGACUGCGUACCUUUUGUAUAAUGGGUCAGCGACUUAUAUUCUGUAGCAAGGUUAACCGUAUAGGGGAGCCGAAGGGAAACCGAGUCUUAACUGGGCGUUAAGUUGCAGGGUAUAGACCCGAAACCCGGUGAUCUAGCCAUGGGCAGGUUGAAGGUUGGGUAACACUAACUGGAGGACCGAACCGACUAAUGUUGAAAAAUUAGCGGAUGACUUGUGGCUGGGGGUGAAAGGCCAAUCAAACCGGGAGAUAGCUGGUUCUCCCCGAAAGCUAUUUAGGUAGCGCCUCGUGAACUCAUCUUCGGGGGUAGAGCACUGUUUCGGCUAGGGGGCCAUCCCGGCUUACCAACCCGAUGCAAACUACGAAUACCGAAGAAUGUUAUCACGGGAGACACACGGCGGGUGCUAACGUCCGUCGUGAAGAGGGAAACAACCCAGACCGCCAGCUAAGGUCCCAAAGUCAUGGUUAAGUGGGAAACGAUGUGGGAAGGCACAGACAGCCAGGAUGUUGGCUUAGAAGCAGCCAUCAUUUAAAGAAAGCGUAAUAGCUCACUGGUCGAGUCGGCCUGCGCGGAAGAUGUAACGGGGCUAAACCAUGCACCGAAGCUGCGGCAGCGACGCUUAUGCGUUGUUGGGUAGGGGAGCGUUCUGUAAGCCGUUGAAGGUGUGCUGUGAGGCAUGCUGGAGGUAUCAGAAGUGCGAAUGCUGACAUAAGUAACGAUAAAGCGGGUGAAAAGCCCGCUCGCCGGAAGACCAAGGGUUCCUGUCCAACGUUAAUCGGGGCAGGGUGAGUCGACCCCUAAGGCGAGGCCGAAAGGCGUAGUCGAUGGGAAACAGGUUAAUAUUCCUGUACUUGGUGUUACUGCGAAGGGGGGACGGAGAAGGCUAUGUUAGCCGGGCGACGGUUGUCCCGGUUUAAGCAUGUAGGCGGAACGAUUAGGUAAAUCCGGUCGUUUAUUAACGCUGAGGUGUGAUGACGAGGCACUACGGUGCUGAAGUAACAAAUGCCCUGCUUCCAGGAAAAGCCUCUAAGCAUCAGGUAACAUCAAAUCGUACCCCAAACCGACACAGGUGGUCAGGUAGAGAAUACCAAGGCGCUUGAGAGAACUCGGGUGAAGGAACUAGGCAAAAUGGUGCCGUAACUUCGGGAGAAGGCACGCUGAUAUGUAGGUGAAGCCCCUGCGGGUGGAGCUGAAAUCAGUCGAAGAUACCAGCUGGCUGCAACUGUUUAUUAAAAACACAGCACUGUGCAAACACGAAAGUGGACGUAUACGGUGUGACGCCUGCCCGGUGCCGGAAGGUUAAUUGAUGGGGUUAGCGGCAACGCGAAGCUCUUGAUCGAAGCCCCGGUAAACGGCGGCCGUAACUAUAACGGUCCUAAGGUAGCGAAAUUCCUUGUCGGGUAAGUUCCGACCUGCACGAAUGGCGUAAUGAUGGCCAGGCUGUCUCCACCCGAGACUCAGUGAAAUUGAACUCGCUGUGAAGAUGCAGUGUACCCGCGGCAAGACGGAAAGACCCCGUGAACCUUUACUAUAGCUUGACACUGAACACUGGUCCUUGAUGUGUAGGAUAGGUGGGAGGCUUUGAAGCGUGGACGCCAGUCUGCGUGGAGCCAACCUUGAAAUACCACCCUUUAAUGGCUGGUGUUCUAACGUAGACCCGUGAUCCGGGUUGCGGACAGUGUCUGGUGGGUAGUUUGACUGGGGCGGUCUCCUCCCAAAGAGUAACGGAGGAGCACGAAGGUUAGCUAAUCCUGGUCGGACAUCAGGAGGUUAGUGCAAUGGCAUAAGCUAGCUUGACUGCGAGAGUGACGGCUCGAGCAGGUGCGAAAGCAGGUCAUAGUGAUCCGGUGGUUCUGAAUGGAAGGGCCAUCGCUCAACGGAUAAAAGGUACUCCGGGGAUAACAGGCUGAUACCGCCCAAGAGUUCAUAUCGACGGCGGUGUUUGGCACCUCGAUGUCGGCUCAUCACAUCCUGGGGCUGAAGUAGGUCCCAAGGGUAUGGCUGUUCGCCAUUUAAAGUGGUACGCGAGCUGGGUUUAGAACGUCGUGAGACAGUUCGGUCCCUAUCUGCCGUGGGCGCUGGAGAAUUGAGGGGGGCUGCUCCUAGUACGAGAGGACCGGAGUGGACGCAUCACUGGUGUUCGGGUUGUCAUGCCAAUGGCAUUGCCCGGUAGCUAAAUGCGGAAAAGAUAAGUGCUGAAAGCAUCUAAGCACGAAACUUGCCCCGAGAUGAGUUCUCCCUGACCCUUUAAGGGUCCUGAAGGAACGUUGAAGACUACGACGUUGAUAGGUCGGGUGUGUAAGCGCAGCGAUGCGUUGAGCUAACCGAUACUAAUGAACCGUGAGGCUUAACCUU